rnacentral:rRNA from 1 species
ACCCUAACCCUCCUAACAGCUAGCUCACCACCCCAAACUCAACAAACAAACAUUAAUUAAACCCAAAAACCCCCAAACAACCAAACAAACCAUUUUUCCCCCUUAGUAUAGGUGAUAGAAAAGGAACAAGACGCAAUAGAAAAAGUACCGCAAGGGAAAGCUGAAAGAGAAGUGAAACAACCCAGUAAAGAGAAAAAAAGCAGAGACAGACCCUCG